AGAUAGCCCUGAUAGUAGUGGAAAUCCUUUUAUGUAAGCGCUAGCGGUCAUAAAAGAUUGAAGCGGAUAGCAGGAAUAGCU
rfam:Flavobacterium frigoris PS1 66_22, whole genome shotgun sequence.